rnacentral:rRNA from 1 species
AGCAUAUGCUUGUCUCAAAGAUUAAGCCAUGCAUGUCUAAGUACGAGCCGUUAAUCGGCGAAACCGCGAAUGGCUCAAUAAAUCAGUUAUGGUUCCUUAGAUCAAACAAUCCUACUCGGAUAACUGUGGUAAUUCUAGAGCUAAUACGUGCAAACAAGCCCCGACUCGGGCGACCGAGGAGGGGUGCUUUUAUUAGAUCAAAACCAGUCGGCGGCCGGUCUUCGGGCCGGUUCGCCGUUCCUUUUGGUGACUCUGGAUAACUUCACGCUGAUCGCACGGUCUCGUACCGGCGACACGUCUUUCAAAUGUCUGCCUUAUCAACUGUCGAUGGUAGGUUAUGCGCCUACCAUGGUUGCAACGGGUAANCGGGGAAUCGGGGUUCGAUUCCGGAGAGGGAGCCUGAGAAACGGCUACCACAUCCAAGGAAGGCAGCAGGCGCGCAAAUUACCCACUCCCGGCACGGGGAGGUAGUGACGAAAAAUAACGAUACGGGACUCUUCCGAGGCCCCGUGAUUGGAAUGAGUACACUUUAAACCCUUUAACGAGGACCCAU